rnacentral:rRNA from 1 species
UACGUAGGGGGCAAGCGUUAUCCGGAAUUACUGGGUGUAAAGGGAGCGUAGACGGUUAAGUAAGUCUGGAGUGAAAGCCCGGGGCCCAACCCCGGGACUGCUUUGGAAACUGUUAAGGCUGGAGUGACAGGAGAGGUAAGUGGAAUUCCUAGUGUAGCGGUGAAAUGCGUAGAUAUUAGGAGGAACACCAGUGGCGAAGGCGGCUUACUGGACCUGUAACU